CCGGUGGGGAGAAAGACCAAAACCUAUCUCGCGCCGCCGCCAUCAGAGUCGCGGCUGUGCUGAUGGUUUCUGGGAAGUGCUAGAAACGGGGCCAUAAAGAGAAUGGCGUCCAUUUACAUAAUGCUUUGUCUGCAUUUUGCAACUCUUCGUUAAGCCCGCAGAAACCCCACCUCCUACGCUGGUGUCGUUUUAGUCGCUGCCGCCUCGUCACACGUUUAAGACAAUGGCGUGCAUUUAUCCGGGCUCUCAGGGGGUUCCUGCGGUUCCCCCGCGCGGGUUACGCUCCCGCUGCUGCCUUUCGGCCCCUUCCCGGCUCAGCGCAGCCAUCGCGCCCGCGCUGUCCGGGGGCGGCCCCCAACUGGGCCCGCCAUCUUGGAGGACCUUUCCUGAGGGUGUGGAGCCGAGCGGCCCUCCCGCUAAGGAAAGGUCGCUGGGGCCGUUGGUGCGCCAGUUGUGAUUUCUGCCCGUUUCCUUUUCCUUCGCUUGAGCCAGACAGAACAGGCCGAGUGCGCGGCGUGCUUUAGGAUCCCUUAGGGAAAGCGGCUAACGUGGCGGUCCCUCAGUCCCUCCCCCCCCCCCCCCCCCGUGGGGGUGGCCGCCAUAUUUGCUGAACACAAAAUGGCGACACGUGUCCUGGAUUCGUCGCCAACGAGAAAUUGGGGUCGGCCUGAAAACUUUAGAAUGCGCCCCCCUCCCACCCCACCCACGAUGAAUUCAUUUAGGCCAAGAGAGAUGAAGUGACUAAUUGAAGGUCACACAGUGUCCAGGAUGGAUUCCAGACUUUCUGAUACACUUUUUGACCUGCACUAUCUUGUGGAUAUGUGAGUGAAUUCCACACCUCCCAUUUUACCGAUGAAGCCACUGAGAUACAGAGUAACUGACUAAAUAGUCACCACCCCACCCCUGGAGCCUCACAUGACUCUUUCAGGUGGUUUCAGCCUCUCUGACCACUUCAGUUACCAUCUGCCCAUGGAUGAUGCCCAGAUCUCUCUCCAGACCAGACUAUCCAAUUGUUCACACGGACAACUUCACUGGGACGUUUUGAAGACUCGGCAGAAUGCAGCUCCUGCUCUUCCCCUCUUGCUCCUCCUCCAGUGUCCUGUCACAUGUGUGUGGGAUCUCGUUCCCUGGUCAGGUGCUGAACCUGGACCUCCUGCAUUGGGAGCUCGGAGUCUUACCCACUGGACCACCAGGGAAGUCCCAAAGGAGGUGUUUUCAGAAAAAAUUACUUAAAUGACAUGUGGUCUUGUCACUGUAAUGUGGUAGUUGAGGCUGUGACUCUGGAGCUAGCCUGAUGGGGACUGAAUUCUGACUCAGCCACUUCUUAUAUGACCUUGGAAAAUCAGGCUGCUGAGAUGGUCUGUGGAGCAAGUGAGAGGCCGACGGAGGUAGGAGAGUUCCUGUUGGCAACCUGGAUCUUUCUCAAAGAAGGCAGCUACUUUAAAUGAACAAAACUACGGGAGGUCUAGGAAUGGUGAAGUGGCGCCUGUGCUUUUGAGUGCUCAGAUUAUGUGAAAGGAAUUGAAGCAGACACUGCGCGAGGGGAAGUCUCAGUCCCUCCUUGAGGAGCAUCUCUUGGGCCAUUUUUCAGGCUGCUCCGUGUAGCAUGUGGGAUCUUAGUUUAUAGACCAGGGAUUGAACCCACGCCCCCUUCAUUGGAAGCAUCACUGGACCACCAAGGAAGUCCCAGCAAAUCUCUUUAAUGAAUAGCUUAAUAGAAGACAGCCAGAUUCUCAUGCCUGCUUUUGUAUUCAGUAAUAUAUUGCUUUCCUUGGAGUAGAUGAAUGAAAUUCAGCUUCAUAUAGAUUCGUAUUUGGAAAAAAAUCAAGUACAGAGGCCACUUGUUUCCUGAGAAGAGGUGGGGCUACACCUCUUGUGCCCAGAGACCUCACUCGGCUCUGACAGGAACACAAAAGAAAUGUAAGACACAGACUAUAUCCACAGUCAAGAGAAUUGAGUAGACAACAUUAAGUUUGAAAAGUUGUAAUAGCACAGAAAUAUACAGAAUUGUCCCUCCAUGUCCAGGCAUUGGUUCCGGGAGCUCUCUCCUCAUCCCUGGAGUUACCAAAAUUCAUGGAUGCUCAAGUCACCUGUAUAAAAAGGAUGGCCUUCAAAAUCAUUGUGUCAGGCCCUGCUCCCUUGGACUGCACAGUGGGAGCUGGAAACACCAGUGACCCCAGUGGGACCCUUUGUAUUCAUCAGCACCAAAUAUACCAGGAACUGGAUUUGAUGAAGCUGGACUUCCUUAUUGGUACAGAAAUCACAUGAGGUUUCUUUAGGAAGACGCCCCUCACUGCUAUUGACUUGGGGGCAUCCCCCAUUCUCUGGCCCAAGGAUAUUCCUGUGGAUUCUCAGAGCCCCUGUGUCCUUGCUGCUGUGGCUGCUACAGCUCCCAGCUAUAUGCUCCCCACUGUAGACAAGUCAGCCUGUACUGGGUUUUUUUAUUCUUCAUCUUGCAGGGAAUCCUGUGUUCAGUCGUUGCCGUCUCCAAGUCUUCUCUUCUCUAAUGAUUUCCUGUAGGUUAGUUCUGGGGAUCUUUCCUUAAUUGACUCUUAAAUGUGUUUUACUUCUAGAGAAUUCUUCAUAAUUGCCAGCAUUGUGACGGCUAGUUUCCUCCUCUUUCACAUUUGCUAGGUUUUUUUUUUUUUAAUUAAGUGACUUUUCCAGGGUCCGUUUUUAUUGAGGAGUAAUGAACAUAAAGUCACAAAUUCUAAGCAUA